rnacentral:misc_RNA from 1 species
GAUGAAGAACGUAGUGAAAUGCGAUAAGUAGUGUGAAUUACAGAAUUCAGUGAAUCAUCGAAUCUUUGAACGCACAUUGCGCCUUCUAGUAUUCUGGGAGGCAUGCCUGUUUGAGCGUCAUUAAACCUCUCUCAAGUAUGAUUACUUGGAUGUGAAGGAAGAGUACCUUAAACUUAAGGAGUGUUCUCCUUUGAAAUUGAUUAGCAGAUGGUAAUGUUAUUAAAUCCCUGAUGUUGUAAGAAAUAACAGUGGUUUUGUAGACUAUUAUCUAGCUUUAAAUUAUAAUUUUUAUUAUGGUUGACCUCAAAUCAGGUAAGGAUACCCGCUGAACUUAAGCAUAUCAAUAAGCGGAGGA